GGGAAUGUGGCUCAGUGGUAGAAUGCUUGCCUUGCAUGCAUGAUGCCUUGGGUUUGAUUCCUUAUUACCA
rnacentral:tRNA from 1 species